GCCCCGCCCAGCUGAGGUCAUCCCGGUCAAGUCAGUACAGGCAUUUGAACAGACCAGAAAGUUUCAGUUUUUCUCCUGGUUUUACGUCUCAAAACGUCGGAUUUUCAUUCAGACUUGGACAUCAGAAGCUCAGAGACGACGUCUAAGACUCUUAGCAACACGCAGAGAUUGCAAACUGAUACAAGAAACCUGAAGGAAACUUUGGAGGAACUUAAAGAAGACUUGAAGAGGGCAAGUGAAAUUCAAGGACAAGCAAAAAGGUGAG